CUUGUAUGUUUUUUUUAAUUUUAGUUCAUUUAUGUUUUCGAGUUUAGAGUGACGUCCAUUUUCACUGAACUGGUGCACAAUUUUAUUUAGGGGCCAGCUGAGGACCACCUUUGGGUGCAGGAUUUUCUAGCUGUGUUCAAGACCCAUUGGUGGCCUUCGGCUGUUGUCUGCUAUUUGGUCGGCGUGUUGUCUCAUUGAUAUAUUCCCCAUUUCAAUUCUCAAUUUUAUUUGUACUAAAACAAAUGAUAGGGAAAUUUUAGAUAUUCACAAAAACCGGUAGUUGGUCACUUGCUAUAUAAUUGAAAACAUGGCUUGUACUAUUAUAAUUUAAUGUCACUAUUACAACAAAUAAGAUUUUUUAGUACUUUAAAUAGCAUUAUCAAAUAAUUUAAUAACUUGGUGACCAUUGGAAAUAGUUGAACUAGGUGACUUCUAAAACUGCAUAGUUGAAACCUUUUGGCUAGACAU
rnacentral:lncRNA from 1 species